rnacentral:rRNA from 1 species
ACGAACGCUGGCGGCGUGCUUAACACAUGCAAGUCGAACGAAGAGCGAUGGAAGCUUGCUUCUAUCAAUCUUAGUGGCGAACGGGUGAGUAACGCGUAAUCAACCUGCCCUUCAGAGGGGGACAACAGUUGGAAACGACUGCUAAUACCGCAUACGAUCCAAUCUCGGCAUCGGGACUGGAUGAAAGGUGGCCUCUAUUUAUAAGCUAUCACUGAAGGAGGGGAUUGCGUCUGAUUAGCUAGUUGGAGGGGUAACGGCCCACCAAGGCGAUGAUCAGUAGCCGGUCGGGGAGGAUGAACGGCCACAUUGGGACUGGGACCAGGCCCAGACUCCUACGGGAGGCAGCAGUGGGGAAUCUUCCGCAAUGGACGAAAGUCUGACGGAGCAACGCCGCGUGAGUGAUGACGGCCUUCGGGUUGUAAAGCUCUGUUAAUCGGGACGAAUGGUUCUUGUGCGAAUAGUGCGAGGAUUUGACGGUACCGGAAUAGAAAGCCACGGCUAACUACGUG